rnacentral:rRNA from 1 species
ACGAACGCUGGCGGCGUGCUUAACGCAUGCCAGUCGAACGGAAAGGCCCUGCUUUUGUGGGGUGCUCGAGUGGCGAACGGGUGAGUAACACGUGAGUAACCUGCCCUUGACUUUGGGAUAACUUCAGGAAACUGGGGCUAAUACCGGAUAGGAGCUCCUGCUGCAUGGUGGGGGUUGGAAAGUUUCGGCGGUUGGGGAUGGACUCGCGGCUUAUCAGCUUGUUGGUGGGGUAGUGGCUUACCAAGGCUUUGACGGGUAGCCGGCCUGAGAGGGUGACCGGCCACAUUGGGACUGAGAUACGGCCCAGACUCCUACGGGAGGCAGCAGUGGGGAAUAUUGCACAAUGGGCGGAAGCCUGAUGCAGCAACGCCGCGUGCGGGAUGACGGCCUUCGGGUUGUAAACCGCUUUCGCCUGUGACGAAGCGUGAGUGACGGUAAUGGGUAAAGAAGCACCGGCUAACUACGUG